rnacentral:rRNA from 1 species
UAAGGAAUAUUGGUCAAUGGAGGGAACUCUGAACCAGCCAUGCCGCGUGCAGGAAGACGGCCCUCUGGGUUGUAAACUGCUUUUAUUCGGGAAUAAACCACAUUACGUGUAGUGUGCUGAAUGUACCGAAGGAAUAAGGAUCGGCUAACUCCGUGCCAGCAGCCGCGGUAAUACGGAGGAUCCACGCGUUAUCCGAAUUUAUUGGGUUUAAAGUGUGCGUAGGCUGCCUAUUAAGUCAGGGUUGCAAGACGGUAGCUCAACUAUCGCAGUGCCCUUGAUACUGUGGGGCUUGAAUGAACUAGGGGUAGGCGGAAUGUGACAAGUAGGGGUGAAAUGCGUAGAUAUGUCACAGAACACCGAUUGCGAAGGCAGCUUACUAUGGUUUUAUUGACGCUGAGGCACGAAAGCGUGGGGAUCAAACA